rnacentral:tRNA from 1 species
CGCGGGGAAGUGUAACGGUUGCACGUGAGGCUCAUAACAUUAAGGUAGCGGGUUCGACUCCCGCCCCCGCAACCA